rnacentral:lncRNA from 1 species
GCUCGUUACCAUGGCGAUCUAAUUAAAGCAGCAUCCGAGGCUGCCAGCCCCUAGGUAGGGCCUCGUGUGUAGCUCUUCCGGGCUGGGGCCACGUGGCCUGUCCCUCUUCAGUGGCUCCGCUGGGUUCUGAGAGGGACUAGGCUGUCCGGGAGAUGACCCAGAAAAUGCCUUUGCCUUGGUGAGGGGCUGUGAGUUCAGCGCUGCCCCCCAUGUCUUCUGACAAGGAGAAGAGGAGCCAGGUGUUGCAGUCUCGUUCUGCGACCUCGGCACGUCACGGUCUCCUCCUGCAGAGUCAGGAUGACGUUUCCUGCUUUGUAGAGGAAAGAAAUGACCAGGAAAGUGUCUUGAAAGGCAAAGUGGAAGGGUGGCUUCCGGUUCUCCUUCGCAAGACCAGCUCUGCAGCUCUGAAUCACCGGACACCAUGGCCGCCCAAGUUCACAGCCACCCUCCUGUGCUCCGUGCCCUGGGGCCGGGAUCUCACCGUUCUGCAUUCUGGUAAACUGAUUUCCCCUUUCUGUUCCGGUGGUCUGAUGGAUCGCUCGGGAGUGCAAACCAAUAAAGGACUCCACGCCUCUCUGGUUUCUGGUUCCAAGGAGGCUGGUGUUUGACAAAACAGCUGUAUAUGAGUGCGCACGGGAGCGGUCAUCUCAGUCUCAAACCAAGACCGAGCUGCAUCUCCAGGAUUUGACUCACACACUUAGCC